AAAGCGACCUGACACAGGAGACACUGUGAUUACGAAGGCCGUUUUCCCAGGACGAGGCUCACCACUGCACUCCUGUGGCGCUGACCCUUGCGAUUAACCCAGAUGUGGUUAACUUGGAUGCGAUUUUCUUUUUUAGCGGGGCACUGUGUUCGCGCUCUCCACCC